rnacentral:misc_RNA from 1 species
CGCACAUUGCGCCCACUGGUAUUCCGGUGGGCAUGCCUGUUCGAGCGUCAGUUCAACCCUCAAGCCUCUGCUUUUUCUCAGCGGCCGGCUUGGUGUUGGGGCUUCUCUGCCGGGCUUUUCCGGCAGGUCCCGAAAUACAGUGGCGGACUCGCUAAUCAACCGAGCGCAGUAAAUUUAUAUCUCGCUCGGGGGAGUUAGUGGGCUUUUCCGGCCGCUAAACCCCUAAUUUUUAAAGGUUGACCUCGGAUCAGGUAGGAAUACCCGCUGAACUUAA